UACGUAGGGGGCUAGCGUUAUCCGGAAUUACUGGGCGUAAAGGGUGCGUAGGUGGUUUCUUAAGUCAGAGGUGAAAGGCUACGGCUCAACCGUAGUAAGCCUUUGAAACUGGGGAACUUGAGUGCAGGAGAGGAGAGUGGAAUUCCUAGUGUAGCGGUGAAAUGCGUAGAUAUCAGGAGGAACACCGGUGGCGAAGGCGGCCUGCUGGACUGCAACUGACGUUGAGGCCCGAAAGCGUGGGGAGCAAACAGG
rnacentral:rRNA from 1 species